rnacentral:rRNA from 1 species
ACCAGACUCCUACGGGAGGCAGCAGUGGGGCCUCUUGCACAAUGGGCGCCCGCCUGAUGCAGCCCUGCCGCGUGUCUGCAGAAGGCCUUCGGGUUGUAAAGUCCUUUCAGCGGGGAGGCAGGCGAUAAGGUUCCUAACCUUGUCGAUUGACGUUACCCGCAGAAGAAGCACCGGCUAACUCCGUGCCAGCAGCCGCGGUACUACGGAGGGUGCAAGCGUUAAUCGGAAUUACUGGGCGUAAAGCGCACGCAGGCGGUCUGUCAAGUCGGAUGUGAAAUCCCCGGGCUCAACCUGGGAACUGCAUUCGAAACUGGCAGGCUGGAGUCUUGUAGAGGGGGGUAGAAUUCCAGGUGUAGCGGUGAAAUGCGUAGAGAUCUGGAGGAAUACCGGUGGCGAAGGCGGCCCCCUGGACAAAGACUGACGCUCAGGUGCGAAAGCGUGGGGAGCAAACAGGAUUAGAUACCCCGGUA